rnacentral:rRNA from 1 species
AGAGUUUGAUCCUGGCUCAGAGCGAACGCUGGCGGCAGGCUUAACACAUGCAAGUCGAGCGGGCACCUUUCGGGGUGUCAGCGGCGGACGGGUGAGUAACGCGUGGGAACGUGCCCUCUGGUUCGGAAUAACUCAGGGAAACUUGAGCUAAUACCGGAUACGCCCUUUUGGGGAAAGGCUUGCUGCCGGAGGAUCGGCCCGCGUCUGAUUAGCUAGUUGGUGAGGUAACGGCUCACCAAGGCGACGAUCAGUAGCUGGUCUGAGAGGAUGAUCAGCCACACUGGGACUGAGACACGGCCCAGACUCCUACGGGAGGCAGCAGUGGGGAAUAUUGGACAAUGGGCGCAAGCCUGAUCCAGCCAUGCCGCGUGAGUGAUGAAGGCCCU